AGUGAACGCUGGCGGUAGGCCUAACACAUGCAAGUCGAACGGCAGCACAGGAGAGCUUGCUCUCUGGGUGGCGAGUGGCGGACGGGUGAGGAAUACAUCGGAAUCUACUCUGUCGUGGGGGAUAACGUAGGGAAACUUACGCUAAUACCGCAUACGACCUACGGGUGAAAGCAGGGGACCUUCGGGCCUUGCGCGAUUGAAUGAGCCGAUGCCGGAUUAGCUAGUUGGCGGGGUAAAGGCCCACCAAGGCGACGAUCCGUAGCUGGGCUGAGACGAUGAUCAGCCACACUGUGACUGAGCCACGGUCCAGACUCCUACGGGAGGCAGCAGUGGGGAAUAUUGGACAAUGGGCGCAAGCCUGAUCCAGCCAUACCGCGUGGGUGAAGAAGGCCUUCGGGUUGUAAAGCCCUUUUGUUGGGAAAGAAAUCCAGCUGGCUAAUACCCGGUUGGGAUGACGGUACCCAAAGAAUAAGCACCGGCUAACUUCGUGCCAGCCGCCGCAGUAA
rnacentral:rRNA from 1 species